UACGUAGGGUGCGAGCGUUAAUCGGAAUUACUGGGCGUAAAGCGUGCGCAGGCGGUUAUGUAAGACAGAUGUGAAAUGCCCGGGCUUAACCUGGGAACUGCAUUUGUGACUGCAUGGCUAGAGCGUGUCAGAGGGGGGUAGAAUUCCACGUGUAGCAGUGAAAUGCGUAGAUAUGUGGAGGAAUACCGAUGGCGAAGGCAGCCCCCUGGGAUAACACUGACGCUCAUGCACGAAAGCGUGGGGAGCAAACAGG
rnacentral:rRNA from 1 species